CUUUCUUUAAAAAAAAAUGUUUGGAAAUUGCUCCUCUAAAAAAUUAAGAUUCUUCUCUCAGGUAAGUGUUUUUAAAGGAAAUUAUACUAUCAAUAUGUGAUUGAGCAUAUUUCUAUUCCCUCUAGAUUUAAUGUUUUCAGUCUUCAAUAUAAAAUGAUGCUAAUGCUCGAUUAUGCUAGGAAGACUCUCCUCCAAUAAUGCUGUAUUUCUUGAUGCUACAUUCAAAAGGGAAACAGAAGUGCUUGGAAACUUAAAUAAAAGAUGAACAGAAGGAAAAAUGACUGUCUGAAGAUGUGCAGAAAAUGCAUGUAAAGACGUCUGUGUCAGCCAGCAGCCAGUCUAGCCAGUUCAUCUUUUAUGACUUUGGUGUGAAGUCUCCAACACAAAUGUCAACGGGCAGUAAAGACCAAAAGAUUCUUCCCCAGAAUCACAAGUUCAAAUUUAAACUUUCUAUUGAGGGUUGCAUUUACUCCUCUGAUCAACCCAUGCUCAACACUAUGACCAUACCAGCGAUCUGUUUUAUGGCUUUUGGAACAGAGAUGACUGCACGGCCAUGGCUUGUGAAGGGAAAGAUCCAGCUCCUCAAGUUCAGAGGUACAGG
rnacentral:lncRNA from 1 species